UAGGGAAUCUUCCGCAAUGGGCGAAAGCCUGACGGAGCAACGCCGCGUGAGUGAUGAAGGUCUUCGGAUCGUAAAACUCUGUUAUUAGGGAAGAACAAAUGUGUAAGUAACUAUGCACGUCUUGACGGUACCUAAUCAGAAAGCCACGGCUAACUACGUGCCAGCAGCCGCGGUAAUACGUAGGUGGCAAGCGUUAUCCGGAAUUAUUGGGCGUAAAGCGCGCGUAGGCGGUUUUUUAAGUCUGAUGUGAAAGCCCACGGCUCAACCGUGGAGGGUCAUUGGAAACUGGAAAACUUGAGUGCAGAAGAGGAAAGUGGAAUUCAAGGUGUAGCGGUGAAAUGCGCAGAGAUAUGGAGGAACACCAGUGGCGAAGGCGACUUUCUGGUCUGUAACUGACGCUGAUGUGCGAAAGCGUGGGGAUCAAACAGG
rnacentral:rRNA from 1 species